UACGGGGGGAGCAAGCGUUGUUCGGAUUUACUGGGCGUAAAGGGCGCGUAGGCGGUAGCACAAGUCAGUUGUGAAAUCUCCGGGCUUAACUCGGAAAGGUCAACUGAUACUGUGCGACUAGAGUGCAGAAGGGGCAACUGGAAUUCUCGGUGUAGCGGUGAAAUGCGUAGAUAUCGAGAGGAACACCUGCGGCGAAGGCGGGUUGCUGGGCUGACACUGACGUUGAGGCGCGAAAGCCAGGGGAGCGAACGGG
rnacentral:rRNA from 1 species